UGAGGGGAAAGGUUUGGUGAAGGGGGCAGAGACCUCCGCUGAAUGAGCUGGUCUCUGUUUGCAUGCCAUUUGCCUUAUUAAUACAGUUCUACACGUUUCUUUUUCAGAGGGUUGGUUGUAAGCCUGCCGGAGAACGCUCUUUUCUGCCUGUAAGUGACUUUGCCCAUCCAGGGACCGCGCGGGAGAAACGAACGCAACGGCAGAAUGAGCGGGAACGACACCUGAGGCUGGGGGGACAUCCUCCCCCCGCCCCGAGUACAGAGGUGAGGGGGCCGUCAUGGCCGCAACUCGUUGACGACUCCUCAGCUCUCACCGCUCGCUCCAGGUCGAGCUACCAGAAACGAUGGCUCGCCUCCGGGGGGAACGUGACAGCCUGGAGAACCUGUAGGAACCCAGUGCUCUUUAAUUCCAGUAUCAAAUUCAGAAAUGGUCCAGAAAAAACUCCAAGGUAAUACAGGAGAACACUUCAAUGAGAUGAAAAAGUCUCCCUCGGCAAUAGGUGAAGAUUCUGAUGUAGCCAUGGUCUGAAUUACUGGUCCAGACAUACAUGUUACUGAGAGAGAUCUGACCUGAUCGGGAUCCCCCCAGAAAGUAAAAUGAUGCCACAUUUCUCUUAAAUCCAGAGCACCGUAUUGUCAAUGUGGCAUAUCUCGACACGUUUCAGCAGAGUACUUUCUGGACUGAAAAUAUACUCUCCUAUAUUUGAAUUUAAGAUAUUGUAUCUGUUUUGAGAUGUACAUAAAUUCUGUGCACUCUAACAAUUGGCUUCCCAACCUUUUAAGACCUUCAAGAACCAAUAUACAGAGCUAACCCUCUCAACCGAGUACUUUAUCAGGCAAAAGGUCGUUUUCACCUUGUAUACUUUCUGUUUCUAUGUUUAUCUCAUUACUGGAAGCCAGCAGCAUUUUCCGUCUUGGUAAUUUCUAAAACCAUUUUAUUUUAGCUAUGAAUAUUUUAAAAAAUUGCUUUGCUGUAAUUCUUAGGAUACCUACACCUUACAAUUGGAAAGGUACUUCAAACAUCUGUAGCCUUAGCCUAAUUAGCAUUAAUUUGUCUAAUCUGCGUAUCAACAACUAGAUACCUGCAUGAUAAGCCAGUGCCAGAUUUUUCGCGCAUGUUGAAUAGCUUUCCUGUGCUGAGGCUUGUUCUGCUGCAUCUCUCUGUUGGAACUGGGUAGGGCUUUAUGGCUACCUCAAAUGCGUCUGUGUGCAAACCGGUAGGAAUUGUGGGACCAGUUGUGGUGCUGUCCCUAGCAAGCUGCUAGCUAGUAAGCGAGGCUGUUGCCUCUUUCUUCAGGCUAAGGAUGGAUUGCCACAACAAAGCCUCUUUCCAAGAGAUUUUGUUCUUAAACAGGCAAACGUUUUCAUUCAGGCAAGCCUUAGCUACUUAAUUUUUUCUCCAUUAGAUCUUAGGCGGCAUUUUACAGCUGACUUUCCCAAAUAAUGAAUAAGAAAGAUUAAUUUGUUUUCCAAUUACUUCACUUUUUUUAAAACCAGAAAACUAGAAUUAUAUUAAAAGGCAAAACACGAAUACAAAAGCAAGGUUUGGUGGCUGCCAUUACACACAUCAGAAACAGUGUGCAGUUACACUGAUAAAAAAAGUUGUAUAUAAAGCAAUACAGAUGUGAAAUUAAAGCCAAUAAAGAUAUACAUUAAUGCUAAAUACAAUGUCUGCAAUUAAUUUUAAGCAAGUUGAACAUGUGGUGCAUAUUAGAGUUCAUAAAAUCUCGCCAUAGGCAAAUAAUUAAUGUUGCAUACAUCAAGUCUGGAAGGAUAGCCAACUGAAAGCGAUUAAAUGUGGAGUAUAUAAUUAAUUACAAGUUGCUAUGAAGGUAAUAAACUAGUAAACAAGAUUCUGGCACUGUCAGUGAGCAUAAGUUAAGAAACUAUUUUAUUGUUUUGGAAAAGAAUUUGAAAUAGAUCUCAUGUUCACUGAAAGAGGCAGUUCUGAUGUUCAUAAAACAUACCGUAAAAGAAAAUUGGGCUCUGCUUUACAUUGCGUAACUUUUCUCAACACAGCAAAUGAUCUGAAACUAAAGUAAUCUGUCAGUCUAAAUUUUAAACCCCUGAAAUAAGUUAUGGGAUUAGAGACAUGUCUGCUUCUCCUCAAAUGAGAAUGCUGAGUGAAGUAAAAUAUACUCCUUGGUAACAGAGCCUAUGAAAUGGAUAAUUUAAAAACAGGUUGUAGACUGAUGGAAGCAUCAAGGCCAUUCUCUUUGACAUAGAAAAACUGCAUCAGUAAAGCCUAAUUACCAUGUCCUUCUGUGUUAAAGAAGGUGCUGCUAAAAAAAAGUGCCUAAAAAAAUGUCACCAAGAUACAUUUAUGCUAUUUGGUCAGAUGCUUUUUACUCUCUGUACUGCUUUGUGUGCUCUAUAGUCUUUGUACUGUAUACUUUCUGUAAUGGAGUUAUGUAUUAAUGUAACUGUAUCAAUCUGCUGCCUUCAGGACUACUAUGUGUAAGCCAGUGUUGCUAGCAAGUGUGUGGAGCACCUUCAUGUAAAAGGCUCUCUGAUGUGACAGAAGAGAAUUUCAAUUUGAUUUCUGGAAUAACAUUAAGGGAUCGAUAAAAGAAAAAAGUGUUAUUCAGUUCGAGAAAUUGGAAAUGAGGGAAACUAUACUGGAAGAUUCUGGAGCUUGGGGAGUAGAAAGUUGAUCCCUUCAAAAUAUGGAAAAAGAAUAUUUCAAAUGGAAUUGUGUUCAGUCCAGUGGAAUCAUUCAACCAUCCUGCUGAUCUACAUCUGAAUCUAAAAUCAAGUGUCUAAAUCUACAGGCUGCCACACCGGUAACCACAGUAGAGACGGGCCGUGCUUGUGCCAGUCAAAAUCCUAUCUUCUUUCUGGCCUUGGCUCACCAUUCAAGAGGACAAAUAACAGCAUUUAGCAAGUGAUGACACAUCUAUGUCUUUGAAUACAGAUAAAAUGGAUAUUCAUUUUGCUUUUCAACUCAGGCUUCAGUAUCAGCAGUGCAUCUGCCAGCAUGUCAUAAGUAUGGGUUGGAGAUAGAAAAGGAUGUGUUGAAGAACAUUGAGAAUGCCAUAUGGAAAUUCUUCUGUGGAUUAUCCCACUGAAUCACCUAGUCGUGUAUAGGAUUAGUUACUUCUCCAUAUGGUGUUUAAGGACCAGAUUGCUGCUGGAAUAUUUUCCAAAGGCUAUUUUUAUGUUUUGCUGUACUAUGGAAUUGUGUGAAAAAUUACAUCAUAACCUGCACCUACAGUGAGAUAUUUUAAAGCACCCAAAGAGCUUUAUACAUUUUCCUCCACGUUUUAGCAAUUAUAAUACUCUCUCAAUUAGUAAUCUUUGAAGAACUGUGAUUCAUUCACUGCUAUAUGUACAUUUCCGUAUGAACACAGUCUGCAAGCUUUGCAAAAAGGGGUGUGGGCGGUAUGAAAUCGUUUAUGCUGCUAAUUGACAAUUAUGCAGUUGCUUCUAGUUUCAAACAGAAAAAAAAAAUCAAUGUAGACUGGCAGAUAAAAUAAAAAAGAAAGGGGAAGGAAUAACAUUCCAUUUUUUGCAACCAGAUUGUGUCAUGCUAUUUAAAUCAGUUUCAGUUAAACUAGCUAAAGCUAAUCAGUUUUAGCUAAAAUAAAAUUAUUUAUUCUUGCUCUUCCAUACACUAGCUAGCAAGUUCUGUCAAGAUGACUUUAUGUGAACUAGAGAUCAAUGCCUAUUCCUAUUGGUUCCUACACUUGAGUGACACGAGUGAAUUAGGGUAGAACUUUGCUAGUAUGCAUUAAUCCUGAAUACUUCUCAAAAUACCUUAAUAAAAAUGUCAAGAGGUACUUUA